rnacentral:rRNA from 1 species
AGAGUUUGAUUAUGGCUCAGGAUGAACGCUAGCGACAGGCUUAACACAUGCAAGUCGAGGGGCAGCAUAGAAGUAGCAAUACUUUGGUGGCGACCGGCGCACGGGUGAGUAACGCGUAUGCAACCUACCUAUCAGAGGGGAAUAACCCGGCGAAAGUCGGACUAAUACCGCAUAAAACAGGGGCACCGCAUGGUGAUAUUUGUUAAAGAAAUUCGCUGAUAGAUGGGCAUGCGUUCCAUUAGGUAGUUGGUGAGGUAACGGCUCACCAAGCCGACGAUGGAUAGGGGAACUGAGAGGUUGGUCCCCCACACUGGUACUGAGACACGGACCAGACUCCUACGGGAGGCAGCAGUGAGGAAUAUUGGUCAAUGGGCGGGAGCCUGAACCAGCCAAGUCGCCGUGAAGGAAGAAGGAUCUAUGGUUCGUAAACUUCUUUUGCAGGGGAAUAAAGUGCAGGACGUGUCCUGUUUUGUAUGUACCCUGAGAAUAAGGAUCGGCUAACUCCGUGCCAGCCGCGGC